GACGAACGCUGGCGGCGUGCUUAACACAUGCAAGUCGAACGGAAAGGCCCUGCUUUUGUGGGGUGCUCGAGUGGCGAACGGGUGAGUAACACGUGAGUAACCUGCCCUUGACUUUGGGAUAACUUCAGGAAACUGGGGCUAAUACCGGAUAGGAGCUCCUGCUGCAUGUUGGGGGUUGGAAAGUUUCGGCGGUUGGGGAUGGACUCGCGGCUUAUCAGCUUGUUGGUGGGGUAGUGGCUUACCAAGGCUUUGACGGGUAGCCGGCCUGAGAGGGUGACCGGCGACAUUGGGACUGAGAUACGGCCCAGACUCCUACGGGAGGCAGAAGUGGGGAAUAUUGCACAAUGGGCGGAAGCCUGAUGCAGCAAAGCCGCGUGCGGGAUGACGGCCUUCGGGUUGUAAACCGCUUUCGCCUGUGACGAAGCGUGAGUGACGGCAAUGGGUAAAGAAGCACCGGCUAACUACGUG
rnacentral:rRNA from 1 species